rnacentral:rRNA from 1 species
UUGUUUAGGUCACAGUACAGUAGGAAAAUCUAGCAAGCCCGACAUCGGGGUUGCGGGCUUGCGAGCUCGUGAAGAGAGGGAAUAGGAGAGUGAGGUGGCGUGAUCGGAAAGGGGUAAGAGGAUAGGUGUGGAGAGCACCGACGAGGGGCCCGGUCGUCGUCGGCAGCUGCCCCUCGCGUCGAGCGGAACACAGCGCCGCCUCGUCCGCCGCCUUGUCGGCCUCCUACUCCUUCGACCACCUCCGCGCCACACUGCCGUCACCACGCACCACCGAGCGGCUCCUGCUACUUCGCUCCCCUCCGCCGCUGAGGGUCCGGUCGCGUCUAGUUGCCCCGAGGCUGCGGCACCCUCAAGCAGCACCUGCGGCUGCCCCGCGGACUCCUAUACCGAGUCUGCCUCCACCACGCCGCGCUCGUGAGCCGCCGACCCCGUGCUGCGCCUACGUCGACGCACCAACGCGGACCUCACGCUCCUUCGCCCGCCCCCGUCGCCGCGACUCCGGGCGAUCUGAGGCCACCUACACCGGGAACCAGCGGCGGCAGGCGACCAGAGAAGCAGGCCGCUUAGCUGCGGCCUAAACAUCCCAGGUUGCCGCGCCCCACCGAGACCACUGGAACGCGUUCCUACCGCGCGUACCCCUUCUGUUGGUGGUACCGGUUGGAUCAUCCAAGGUACCCCGAGCCGUUAGUGCUACCCCAAGCUUGAAGCGCCGGGCACUGCUCCGCCAGCAGCCGCGGUCUCCAGCUGAGGGGACCAGUUGCAGAGGAAGGAUGCUUCUUCUUCUCCAAUAAGAAGUCUCUUAAUACCGCAAAGAAAACCAAACAUUGGUAGUAGUUAUUGUGUACCCGUUGAUAAGUCAUUAGACACAUGGAAUGUGAUGAAGGAGGACAAACGUGACUAUACACCUAAGGAGUUUAAAACUUCGUCGGACUUGCAAUGGUAGUCUAAGAUUAAGUGAAACGUACAGAGUUUAAGACAACAUAAAAAAGGAUCGACUAAAGACUCAGUUCAACACUAUUUCAUCAAUCGAAUCGAUACAUGACUUCAAUCAAAUCAAACCACACAUGGGCUCCAAGACGAAUUUUAUCAAUGGUAACAUAAUCUGUAUAUAAACUGUAGAAUAAAUCGUUCUAUAAGGAGCUCUUAUCUGUGUCAAAAGUAGAACAGUUGAUGUUGAGGCUGCAUGUAAAAAACGG